rnacentral:rRNA from 1 species
AUUGAACGCUGGCGGAAUGCUUUACACAUGCAAGUCGAACGGCAGCACGGGGCAACCUGGUGGCGAGUGGCGAACGGGUGAGUAAUAUAUCGGAACGUGCCCAAUCGUGGGGGAUAACGUAGCGAAAGUUACGCCAAUACCGCAUACGAUCUACGGAUGAAAGCAGGGGAUCGCAAGACCUCGCGCGAAUGGAGCGGCCGAUAUCAGAUUAGGUAGUUGGUGGGGUAAAGGCUCACCAAGCCAACGAUCUGUAGCUGGUCUGAGAGGACGACCAGCCACACUGGAACUGAGACACGGUCCAGACUCCUACGGGAGGCAGCAGUGGGGAAUUUUGGACAAUGGGCGCAAGCCUGAUCCAGCCAUUCCGCGUGCAGGAUGAAGGCC